CAUAGUCACACUUUAUGUAUGUGUUUUGCUAUUAGGAAGAAUUGAAAGACAGACCUAUUUCUAUUUGUUCUUACACUUAGAAAUUUAAUUUAAAAUUUCUUAAUUUUUUAAAGCCCUUUAGGAAGGACAAGAUAGAUAGCAUCAGUUGAAAUUUACUGAAAAGGGCCAUGAGCUAGGGCUUUUACAAACCUCAAGUUCAAGUGUGAAAAUAGAAGAAAAUGAUUACUCUGGGCAGAGGAACAUCUUGAGCAGUCAUCCGGCCCAUCCCUUUGGAUUAUUCAAGCCGGACGAAAGGUAAUUUGCAUCCUAGAGACAUAACACCAUUUCUCAAAAUAAGAUCUGGCAACACUCAACUGUGGAGUUCAACUGCAGAUGCCAAAAAUGCAAGGUGCUGUGAUGGAGUUUUAUAGUGUCUAGUGGAAAAACUCAGAAGAGAAGACUUGGAGAUGAGACACCCCCAUGAUCUGCAAUGGACCGUGAUCUCUGAGAGGAAUUAGCCUUGCUCAGCAUGGUUCCCAAGAAUCACCUAAGUUACAGGAAGAAAGAUGCAGCUCAGUGUAUACAAUAAAAUUCUGUAUCCUAUGGAGCAGUUAAAAAUGAGAAACUUCUUUAUGAAAAUAUCUGAGACAGGUACCAAAUGGCUUCAGUUAUCAAAAUUUUACUCUAGAAUAAUUUUUUAAGUAGAUUAUUGAGAGAAAAAAGAUAAGGAGUCACUUACAGAAUUCAAUUCAAUGGCAGGCAGUGCAGUCGGGCUUCCUAGAAACCGAAAUAGUAUUAAGUCUCCUCUCCUUCUCUCUUUCUCUCAGGAACCAUACAGACAUCUUUCUCUUUCUCUCUUUAAAACUAUUACAUUCAUCUCUCUGCAAACCCAUUACAUUUUUCUCUCUGCAGAAUUCAUUGAUCCUCGGAAAUUUUUGGUUUCUGGGCCUCCCCAAUUUCAGCAUGCAUGUCGCUCUGGUUUGUCACAGCAACGACUCUGUUACCAUCUCUGCAUUCCCUUAGCAAUCUAGGACCCAACAGCAUCUCUGCCAUUUCUGGGUUUUAUGGUUCAAAUUUUUCCAACAGGAUUCUGUUGGUUCCCCUUGAGUCAAGUUUCCCACACCUGAUUCAAUUUGUUGUGCUACAUAUGUUUGUUCCAGGUACAAGACCUUUAGCCAAGAGCUAGGACAAGGGGCAGAUUCUUUUAGAGGAUUGUAUAAAGGAGACAAUCGCUAACUAACAUCUCUAGAAGAUGAUAGUGGAAGUGAAUCAGAGACUGAAUAAUCAUCUCCUGACAUUAAUGUGACCUUACUUAAUCCAUUACUAUGUUCACCUUUAAUAUCACCUUAGUCCAAGUCACCAUUGUCUCUCACCUGAAACAUUUCAAAUAUUUCCUAAAUUGCAUUGCAAGUGCAUCCUAAACCUAUUUUCCACACUGCAACUAGCACAAGUUUUCCAACCAGGUCUGAUCAUGUCAUCAUGUUUAAAACAAGACUCAUCAAGCUCUAAGUUCAAAAUCAAAUAUCCUUCAAGAAUCCACACCUGGGUCUUGCCAACCUCUCUGGCCUCAUCAUAUAUCACUUUGCUACUUGCUCUCAGUGCUCCAGCCAUAUGGUUUACUUUUAAAAAUGGAAAUUUACCAAGUUCUAUAUCCCCUCGAGACCUUUGAACUUGCUACUUUGUGUACCAGGAAUGCUUUUUUUCUACCAGACUUCAGUUAAAUAACUUCAACUCAAACUUCACAUUUCAAAUUAAGUAUUCUGUCUUCGGGGAGGUCACCUCCAUUGAAUAUUUGCUCCGUGGCACAUAUGAUAAUGAAAUAUGAUAAUGAUAAUGAAAGCUACCAUUCUUACAACUUUCAGCUCAGCUGAAUUCACUAGUUUGAUGUCUGUUUUUCCCACCAGAGUAUAAAAUCAAUGGGGACACCUGUUAAGGUCCAAUGAGGACAAUACUUGACAUAAAACAUAAUUCAGUAGAUAUUGUGGAGAAAAACAAAUGAUUUGGAGAGAUCUAAAUCCAAUACCAGGCAUUCUGAAGAUGUGAAAUUCUAACUUUCUUACGUUUUCAGACGAUGAAAACUUCAAAGGUCUUAAAAACUUAUAAAUGUAGAGAAAGCAAGACACUUUGUGAAAACUUCUAAAAUCAAAAACAUACUUUAAAAAGUGUUAGAUUAUUUCUCCAUGGAGAAGAAAAGCAAUAAAAAUUUUAUGUGGGUUAUGUUUGGUAUAACUAAACAUUGAUAUAAAGACACAUCAGAGUUGCAAAAAAAGUAAGAUUUUAAUUCUUUCAAGAAAUUUAUAUAUCGAGUACUUAAUACAUGCCAGGGACUACUCUAGAUAUUUUAGAUAUAGGGUGAAAAAAAUAGAAAAUAAUCCUUGUCUUCAAGGAGUUUAUAUUCUAGUAAAAUAGCAUUGUUAAUCAAAUGUACAAAAAUAGAAAAAAAAUGAAUACAAUGAAGUGUUCACCUAGACAUAGCCAAAAUUUUAAAACUUAAAUAUUUCUGAAGAUGACUUAUAAAACAUUAGUGUUUUCUCUCCUAUCCAUUAAUCUCCUAGGGAAUCUUCUAGAUAUUACAUAGAGACACAAGGAAAAGAUUUUGAAUAAAUGUUGAAUCACGGGUGGUGGUAACCUUUUCGUAGAUUUGCCAAUUCAGCCAUAUAUAUCCAAAUAGGUAAAUAUUAUUUAAAUUUGGAUAACUUAAACAUUUCAAAGCAAUAAAAAGGCUAAGAUUCUCACGCAUCCCACACUAAAUAAUUCUACCAAGUAGGUGUACAAGGAAUAAGUUAAUUUUAGUGAGCCCGCCUCUCUUCGUUUCCUCUAACCCCCAGCUGGGCAGCAGGGAGAUUACAGAGAAACCGAGAUGCCUACCAGGCCCCAGAUCAGAUCGGUCGUGAGGGUACGUGAGAAGCUAGGUGCCAAGAGCUGAAAAGAAACAGUGGAAAAAGGGGUGAUACGAUAUCUCUUUUAAUCCCUUUUGUUUUAAUUCCAAGAGAUUCUAUGUUGGUGCAAGGCAAACAAUAGGCUCUGUAGCAGCAAAGUUCACAGCACAAUAAGUGCUCCAAAAUGGAUGUCAAGGCAAAAGGAAAUCGGGCCACUUGGAAAACAGAAUGUUGCCUUUCGUCUUAAAAUUCAAGCCAAAUUUAACUCAGAGAAGACAAUUCUGAACUUAACAGAGGUCUGCAGCUUUUCACAUUGCUUCAUGCAGAACCCACAGAUACGUCCAACAGAGGUCAUCAAUGUAAUAUCCGAUGACACUAAGAAGUCCAUUCAUUCAUUCCUUUGGCAGACAUGUACUGAUGCCUACUGUAGCUAGCAGGUACAGUUUAGGGCACUAAGGAUAAAGAAUGGAAUGCAACAAACUCUUACACAGAGUUACACCUUACACAGAGCACAAGCUAGUGUGGGAGAUAAACAUAUAGCAAAUAAAUAAAUACACGUCUAGUAUAAUGUCAGAUAGUGACAGUGCUAUGAAAGAAAAUGUAACAGUGUAAGGAGGUAGAGGGCACUAAGAAGUGGCUUUUAGGAUAAGAUGGGCAGGUCUGACUUGCCUGUUUAGGUGGCAUUUAUGCUGCAGAGCAGUGAGCUAGGAGAAGCAUGUUCAGAGACGUGUUGAGAGGGAGCUGGAGUUCAGAUAAUGAGCACGUUAGGGACCAUGGUAGGAUAUUAUGGUGGUUUGGAUAUGAGUAAUAGGAGGUGGUGAAAAAAGCCAAGUUGUGGAGAGAGAGAGAGGGAAAGAAAGAAAGUAGGUAUCUUUCUAACUACCUAUCCACCUAUCUGUUCAGGCUCACAAGUAGAAUUUUGGUGCUAGAUCUCUGCUGUCCAAUUGGCAUUGAAAACCCCAUUCAGGAUGAUAAAAGGAGCACCAAUGACAUGGGACUUGCAGUACUGGUGCAAUUGUUAAAGUGGUCACUGGUGGUGACCUUGGAACUGUGCUCCCUGACAGCAAUGGGGAGGAGAGGAGCCAAAAUAAUAACAGAAGCAGGAUGGGAAUAAUUAUUGUAAUGAGCACCAAGGUUGGUGAGGCAGGUGGGAGUGCACCUAAUAGUUACUGAAAUGCUUGCUUUUUACCUUUCGCAAGUGAAUGAUGGAAGCUCAGGUCUGGGAACUGGGCAAAGCAUGGAUCCUAGGGGACGAUGAUAAACUAUUGAAAGCUCAAACAAGUAGUAGCCCCACUAAUAGCUGCUGUGCCUGAUCUGGUGUCUUUGCUGGAGCAGUUUAAUAAAGCCUCAGAUGCAUUCAAUAGGGCCGCUGGUCUGGUAAGUGCAUUCUUUUCUAAUCUCAUCAGAAAGGAAGAUCAGGAGCAGUUCACAUUCACUUGAGACAGUCAACAGUGUGAAUGUAUUAUCUUGUCCUCAGAGUUAUUUUAACUCUGUUAUCCCCCAUCAGAGAAUCAUCCAAAAACUGGCACCACAUAUAUAUUCUGCAGAAAAUGACAUGGAUCCAACAUAUUGAUGCUGUCAUGUUAACUAGACAGAAUAAUCAAGAAGAAGCAAGUGUAUUAGAAAUCUUGGUAAGACACAUGCCUUCCAGGUUGGAAAUAAACCCAAUGAAGAUUAAGAGAUCAGUCAAUUAGUGAAGAUCUCUGAGAUGCAGUGAUCUGGGACACAUCAGAAUUUCCCAUCGGAUAUGUUCAUGGGUGGGUGAAGUCAAACUAUUUAUGCAGGCCCAAAAUGAAUGACAACUGUGCUACUGUCUCACGAAUAGGUAGCACUGAAAAAGAUGGGUGACAGGAAGUGUGUCCAGUGAGAAGAGCUUUGGGCAGCAUUCAUGGUCAUCCUGUACACCAGAUCACCCACUUUGUAUUAAAAAAGUUAGUAGUUCAGAUAACAACGUAUACAGCCUUGUAACUAACUUGAUUGGUUAUUCUGGACCCUGAUGGAGAAAGAAUGGCAGGUAAGGGACAGGGAGGUUUAGGGAAGAGGAAUAUGGAUGGACUAAUGUGAGUGGUCGUGAAUACGAAGGUCUUUGUAUCACAUAAUGUCACUCACAAGACAGCAUCUGGCAGAGAAGAGACUUUAAACAACAAUAUAGAAAAAAUGACUCAGUGAGCUGACAUCACCCUUCCUGUCAUUGGCAGCACCCGUUCCUGCACAAUACAUGCAAGAACGAAAUAAAAGCAUGGGAGGGUGGAGGCCUGCACGGGACUGAGAGCACAAGCUUUCCCUCACUGAAGCUGAUCUAACGACCACCACUGCCGAAUGUCCGAAGUGCCAUCAGUGCAGAAUAACGUUGAGUCCUCUGUAUGGUACCAUAUUUCAAGGAAAAUAGUUUUGGUGGAAAGCUGCUAAUAUUGGACCACUUAACCUAUACUCAACAUAUAUUCUAACUAUGGAGUUGCCUUUUUUGCUUGGGGGCUUCAACGAGCACCAUGAGCUGAGGGCAUGCAGAGUCUCAUUACCAACACGAGAUCCUACACAACAUCACAUUGGACUGAAGGAUACUCUACAGCAAAGGAAGCAUGGCACUGGGCACAAGGCCCUGGGACCCACUGGUCAUAUCCCACGCUACACCACCUAGCUGGCCUGACAGAAUGAUGGAAGAGGAUAGUUAAGGGACCAGCUUGGAAAUGAUGCAUUUAAUACACAGAAUACCUAAGUUCAAAAUCUAAGGAGUAGAAAUAGGAGUGGUCCCACUACAAUGAUUCAAUGACCUGGGGAUUUUUGUACCUUCCAUACCUGCAGGUUUAGAGUCCUGCUUCCCAGAGGGAAGUACUUUCACAAGGAAACAUUACAUUAGGCUUUAAGCCACAGCUACUGCCUAGUCACUUUGGGCUUGUCACAUCAAGAUACCAGCAGCAAGGAAAGAGAUGAUGAUGCUAGCAGGGAUAAUUAACCCUGAUCAUCAGGAGAGGGAGAGCUGCCAUCACACAGAGGAGGCCGGGAAGAAUAUGCUUGGUACUCAUGUGCUCUAUUUUGCUGUUUCUUGAUAUGUCUUCAUCAGUUUUGAUGGUAAAUGGAAAAGCACAGACCAAGAAAGUCAUGGUGACCACAAGAUCAGACCUCUGAGAGAUGAGAGCCUGAGUCAUCCUCACAAGCUCAUGUCCUAAAGGGCUGGUGUUCAGCAGGGAAACAAGGCUGUGCCAUCACCACUCAGAGACCAGGGCUGGGGUGCUGCCAUCUCACAGCCGCAUCCUCUGGAACCUGGAGUUUUCUUCUGUGCCACGUCAGAGGACGCGAGUGAAGGGAAUUGUGCAUGGUCAAUUAAAUUACCUGGUGCAAGAGCACUCUGUGUGCCUUCCCCUUGCAGUCUGCUACACAGAGCUAGUCACGUGGACCUCGCCAACAGGACAUGUGCUUUUCCACAGGCCCAGGAAGGAGUCACGUCAGCUACAAGUAUCUUGCUGGAAUCUAGCAAUGUUGCUGUAGUUUUUCAUUAUAUUUAUUUUUAUGAUUAAGGGAUAUUUAUGAAGAGUGGGUUUCUAUUUAUAAGUUCUUUUAAAAUAAAAUUAUAAAAGUGCAAAAAAGAAAUCAAGAUAAAGAAAUGUUAAGUAAACAAUGAUUCAGGUAGUAUACAGAUAGAGCAAAAAUUGUGGCGAAAGCUACGUUGUGAAAAUCGGGAAUAGCUGUCCUCACGGGAGGUCACACAGCUAGUUCGUGACAAAAAUGAGAAAAUUCCAGGUCUCUGACUCCACCUCUGUGUCCUCCCCAUGUUGCUGUUGCUUUUCAGAUCCAGCCCACGUGAUAGUCCUGACCCUUCUAAGUGUGGACACGCUAAGGAGAGGAACUCCGCUUUCUAAAAUUACUUUUUGUAGUAUCUUUGGACAGCAUUUUAGGAAAAAAUAAACAAAAUGACCUGGUUACUACUUUUUAGUCAAUUUUACAAAGUUUCGGAACUUACUGGAAGAACAUGGAGAGGGAAUUACUGAUUUUAAGUACCUGAAAAAACACUGAAGAAAAUGUGACCCAUUUAGCAGUGGCGGUAACAGCAGACACUAAAUCAGCAAUACUAGCAAAAGGGCGCUUAUCUGUAAAGACCAUGCUGAAGAACUUCAGAGUGAAAUAAUUCAAAUCUUUAUUAGCCUGUGUAUUUUGCUCAAAAGAGGUUUACAAAGCUACAGAGCACACUGAAUCUUAUUUACACUGUCACAUAGAUCUGCUUAUUAGAAGUUCUUCAGCAAGAUUUCCAACUUGUCCUUCUGUUAUUUUUAAAAAAUUUGUCAGUUGAAGACCUUAAUCCUUACUUUGGGCUUUUUAGCAAGUGAAUUUUUAUGAAAGAAUUGAUCCUUGACAAAAACAAAGCAAAGACAACUAAACAAAAAUCUGCACUCAUCUCUCCACCUUACGGCCCCUUCUCCCAUCCCAGUUCUGCUUCAUCAGAAGCGGGUCCAGGUCGCUGCCAUCGUCCCCUGCUUCAUAAGCCCCGUCUCGCCCAUGCGGAGAGUGCUUCAAAUCAGUCCCCUUGCCUUCUGCUUUCACCCUACUCUGCCCUCUUCAAAAACCAUGGCCUCCGCUUGCUACCACGGAGGAAAGGAUCGGACCCACUAAUUCAAAAUAAAGCCAGAUGAAAUCACUUAAUAUGUCACACCCCCCCCCCAAAUAAUCCAUUACUAAGUUAGGAGAGUGUGACCGUCACAGACCAGGAUGACUUCAGUCGUGGGAGUGAGGAGAUAUUUUUUGACAAGGUCACGACACUAGCUGGCUUUCUGCUAGCCUUGUUAAUUCUGCUUCUUUUGGGGGUAAUCUCUGAUUCUUUAUUCUCCGGAAUUAUUUCUCCUGAUUGAGAGGUGCUGCCUACAAGAGAUGAUUGGUAGAAGCCAAAUUUUCCUCCUGCAAGGAAAUAAUACAGAGAAAGUAUUAAAAGUCAGCUUUGCCUUCUGAGAUGUCAGAUUAGGGGAGGGUUUUUACACAAGCUGCUUCAGAUCACUUCCUUCUUCCUUAUGAGAGCUCAACACCGUGCAGCUGGUUAGCUAAAGGAGCCCCACUUCUGCCGAGUAGUCAGAGCUCCAAACUGAAGUGAAACAACGUGAAUCAACAUGCAGGAAAUGGGUACCAUAACUCUAUUUUUAUAAUAAGUACAAUGAUUUUGUUGCUUUAAAGACAUGUUUUCUUUUCUUUCUGUUGAACAAAAUAAACAAGUUCAAAUAGGGUCCAGCGCUUAUGGUGUCGGUGCUGAUUCAGGCACACUCUGAGGCGCUCUAAGCCCUGAACGCAUGACAAAAACCCUUGACCCCAGCUCCCCCGUGGAGCACUAGGAUUGCGUCUCACUCCGCCCACACCCGACUCCACACCCUGAGGAUGGGGCACGGGGAAGUGGCCCAGAAAGCAGACACUUGAGUCUGGGCUCCACAUCAUCUCUGUGACUUUGGACCUUGGACAAAACCAUCAUUAUUCUUUCUAGAUCUCACUGUUGUCACCUGCCUAGUGAGCAGUUGGGCCUCGUCCCACUCUCACAGUUGACGAUCUGGAAGCAUAUAUGUCGCUCUGUCAGACAAAACCUCUAUUUGGUUUUCUUUUGUACUGUUUAAUAAUUUGGAAGAAAUGUUUUCAUUUGUUUUUAUGUUUUUCUUAUUUAAAAACAUGUUAAUUUUUAAAUAAUAUAAAAAUAUAGAUAAGCAAAAAGAAGAAAACAAAUUAAAUUCACUCAUAAUCCUACUACCCAAUAAAAUGUUACAGUAUAUAGCCUCCAGCCAUUUGCAUUGCGAUUGUUCAGUUAACAAUAUGCUGAGAUUAUCUCCCCUCGGACUUAACCACGGUCGUGCCGGCAUAGCACAGUUCACCUCACUGAGUCUUUUUUGUUUGACUUUUAUGUUGAUAAAAUUUGUUUAUUGUUAUCCAUGUUUAAUGAACAGCCAUGUAUACAAAUAUUGGUGUAUAAUACUAAUUAAUGUCUUAAGGUGAAUUCUCAGAAUCAGGAGUCUCUUGCUCAUGAGGUAUGCUUACAAAAAGAAAUACUUUUUUUUUUAAACACAAGAGUAAUUCAUUAUUGUUG